UACGUAGGGUGCGAGCGUUAAUCGGAAUUACUGGGCGUAAAGCGUGCGCAGGCGGUUUUGUAAGCCAGAUGUGAAAGCCCCGGGCUUAACCUGGGAAUGGCAUUUGGGACUGCAAGGCUUGAGUGCGGAAGAGGAGACUGGAAUUCCUGGUGUAGCAGUGAAAUGCGUAGAUAUCAGGAGGAAUACCGAUGGCGAAGGCAGGUCUCUGGGCUGACACUGACGCUCAUGCACGAAAGCGUGGGGAGCAAACAGG
rnacentral:rRNA from 1 species